UACGUAGGUGGCAAGCGUUGUCCGGAUUUACUGGGCGUAAAGGAUGCGUAGGCGGACAUUUAAGUCAGAUGUGAAAUACCCGAGCUACUUGGUGCUGCAUUUGAAACUGGGUGUCUAGAGUGCAGGAGAGGUAAGUGGAAUUCCUAGUGUAGCGGUGAAAUGCGUAGAGAUUAGGAAGAACACCAGUGGCGAAGGCGACUUACUGGAUUGUAACUGACGCUGAGGCAUGAAGCGUGGGAGCAAACAGG
rnacentral:rRNA from 1 species